ACGGCUGCUUCACGGAAAACGAAUAAACGAAUUUUUAACACUAAACUUUUAGGCGUGAGCCAUUACACACUGUGGUUAAUAUUCAUAAGGCAUUGCAUGCUGUGCUAAUUCUUUGUCCAAGUAUGCUGAUGUGUUAACACCAUUUUAAUAGUUGAUCGACACGGAUACCUAAGAAUUAUGUGCCAGCUACACAGUCUAUGGUUUCACCACAUUCUUUAAGUUUUGUUAUAUUAUCUUUUGUAUUUGUGUAGACGUUUAUUGUUAUCUGACCAGUUACACAACGACCCAAGUCCUUUUCAUUUUUUACUUCUAAUAUUUCUUGUGUCCUGUCUGUAAUUACUAUAAUGCUAUCAGCAGCAAAUAACACAGUUUAUCCUAGUGUGACCAACAGUGGGAAGUCAUAAUGGAAAUGAGAAACAGUGUUUGGCCUGACAUACUCUGUUGUUGACAUAUUGGUGAUCUGAAAGAUGUUUCACCAUAUAAUUAGGACCACUUGAAAUCUGGGAUAUCUCUGUACUCUGUCUGCUAGGUGCCAUAUUGGAUUCGUGGUUUACCAUUGUUUCCGCCAUAUUUGUGAAGUCAUGGGUCAAAGCAGACGGGUGGUAUCGGUUGCUUCCAUAUUUCGGUGCAACGAGCGAUGACACAGUCGCCGUAUAGUAAUGUUCUCAAAAUAGGUGUGUAUGCCACCUUGACAACAUCAUCGGUUAAAGCAGUUAUGCCAAGUGACAAGGGAGACAGAAAGAUGAAGAAGCAGCGGGACUCUGAGGAUACGGAGGAAACAGUGACGGCAAUCUGGGAGAAGAAGACGGGGCUCUCGAACGCCUCCAAAGAAUUUGAAGUUCCAACAACUACUCCGUUUCAGUCGGUCAGCGGCCCCGAGCCCAAUGUCGAGGCCCCACCACAUUAGUGUGUAAACCAGUUUUCUCUGCGGGAUUAGAGUAGGAAAUAGUGCAUCAUUCAAUUCAGAUGAAGUUACAUUUUACAGUCUCACUAGAAAGAACAUUUGUUCUUUGGCUUAGCAACUAGCAGUGCAGACUAAAAUACCACAUUAUUUUGGAAAGAGUGCAAAAGAAGGCAGAGAUC